rnacentral:rRNA from 1 species
GUGAGGAAUAUUGGUCAAUGGACGCAAGUCUGAACCAGCCAUGCCGCGUGCAGGAUGACGGCUCUAUGAGUUGUAAACUGCUUUUGUACGAGGGUAAACGCAGAUACGUGUAUCUGUCUGAAAGUAUCGUACGAAUAAGGAUCGGCUAACUCCGUGCCAGCAGCCGCGGUAAUACGGAGGAUUCAAGCGUUAUCCGGAUUUAUUGGGUUUAAAGGGUGCGUAGGCGGUUUGAUAAGUUAGAGGUGAAAUUUCGGGGCUCAACCCUGAACGUGCCUCUAAUACUGUUGAGCUAGAGAGUAGUUGCGGUAGGCGGAAUGUAUGGUGUAGCGGUGAAAUGCUUAGAGAUCAUACAGAACACCGAUUGCGAAGGCAGCUUACCAAACUAUAUCUGACGUUGAGGCACGAAAGCGUGGGGAGCAAACAGGAUUAGAAACCCCAGUAGUCC